GUCUACAGUCACACCCCCACCCUGAGCGCGCCCGAUCUCGUCUGGUCUUGGAAGCUAAGCAGGGUCGGGCCUGGGUAGUACCUGGAGGGGAGACAUACUGGGUGCUGUAGGCU
ensembl:rRNA 5S_rRNA 5S ribosomal RNA